UAGAUGUGAGUAUAUCAAUAUUACCUUGUUCAGAACUUAAAGAGAAAUCUUGAGUUUAUGGACUUCAGGGGGAGUAUGGUCACAAGGCUGAAACUUAAAGGAAUUGACGGAAGGGCACACCAGGAGUGGAGCCUGCGGCUUAAUUUGACUCAACACGGGAAAACUUACCAAGACCGAACAGUAGAAGGAAUGACAGAUUAAGAGUUCUUUCAUGAUUUAUUGGGUAGUGGUGCAUGGCCGUUCUUAGUUGGUGGAGUGAUUUGUCAGGUUAAUUCCGGUAACGAACGAGACUGAAACCUAUUAAUUAGUUUUUCUGCCUAUAAGACAGAAAUGUUCGCAAGAACAGGUGCGUAAGUACCACUUCUUAAAGGGACACAUUUCAAUUGUCCUAUUUUAAUUGUAGUUAUCUAAUUUCGGUU
rnacentral:rRNA from 1 species